AUUGAACGCUGGCGGCAUGCUUUACACAUGCAAGUCGAACGGUAACAGGUCUUCGGAUGCUGACGAGUGGUGAACGGGUGAGUAAUGUAUCGGAACGUGCCCAGUAGUGGGGGAUAACUACUCGAAAGAGUGGCUAAUACCGCAUGAGAACUGAGGUUGAAAGUGGGGGACCUUCGGGCCUCGCGCUACUGGAGCGGCCGAUAUCAGAUUAGGUAGUUGGUGGGGUAAAGGCCUACCAAGCCGACGAUCUGUAGCUGGUCUGAGAGGACGACCAGCCACACUGGGACUGAGACACGGCCCAGACUCCUACGGGAGGCAGCAGUGGGGAAUAUUGGACAAUGGGCGCAAGCCUGAUCCAGCAAUGCCGCGUGUGUGAAGAAGGCCUGCGGGUUGUAAAGCACUUUCAGUGGGGAAGAACAGAUUCGGGUCAAUACCCCGGAGCCCUGACGUUACCCACAGAAGAAGCACCGGCUAACUCCGUGCCAGCAGCCG
rnacentral:rRNA from 1 species